rnacentral:rRNA from 1 species
UACGGGGGGGGGAAGCGUUGUUCGGAAUUACUGGGCGUAAAGGGCGCGUAGGCGGCCUUCUAAGUCGGACGUGAAAGCCCCAGGCUUAACCUGGGAACUGCGUCCGAUACUGGGAGGCUUGGAUUCGGGAGAGGGAUGUGGAAUUCCAGGUGUAGCGGUGAAAUGCGUAGAUAUCUGGAGGAACACCGGUGGCGAAGGCGGCAUCCUGGACCGAGAUCGACGCUGAGGCGCGAAAGCUAGGGGAGCAAACGGG